rnacentral:tRNA from 2 species
GUCCACGUAGCUCAGCCGGAUAGAGCAUGCGCCUUCUAAGCGCACGGUCGGGAGUUCGAGUCUCUCCGUGGACGCCA